rnacentral:lncRNA from 1 species
UUUACAAGUGUUAAAGCAAAAGUGCAAAACCCAAACACACUCUUCUCUCACUCUCACAGCAAACCCAUCACUUGAGACCCUAGCACAACCUUUAAAACACCGUCGAUUUUGAUAACCCAAACCUUUAGUUAUCAAAAUCGGCGAACCCUCACUGAGAACCAUACGGAGAACCCUCCAAAUGCGUGCUGCCACACUCAAAUUUCGGAACCUAAGCUAAGAGCACACCACUGAUUGAGCAUAUUAGAACCUGAUUGUUCGAUUGUUACAGGUAAUUAUUGUUUGAACCCUAGAAAAUAAGUUAAAAAUCCUAGAGUUGUAGUUCUCAAAUUCAUUCACUGUGAUGUAAAGGUUUUUUUUUUUUUUCAUUUUCAUUGGUUGAAUUUACUAAUUUGUUGAAAUUAGCGAACCUUAGAACUACAAAAUGACAUAUACUUUGUUCUUGGGUGUGGCAAAUCACAUGUUUAUAGUCGUAUGUUCAUUAUCUUCGAAUUAGGGAUAUAGUUAGUAUUUUUGUAUUCCCUUCAAGUGUUUGAUAAAAAGCCUGAAUCAAUUUUGCUCGGCUGAAAAAAAAUUGAAAGGGAGCUAUUUUAAGAUCAUUUUCCCUACCAUUUUUAGCGUACUUUGCAGUAGAUAGGCUGGGUUAUGGUCCUUUACAGGUCCAGAGUGAAAGGUUGCUUCAUGUGAAUGAAUGCCAUGUUUGCUUUGUGAUAGGAAGCACACACCACUC